rnacentral:lncRNA from 1 species
ACGAGCUAGAAUUUCGUGAUACUUAAAAAUUAAGUAAAGAUGUUAAAUCAUUGUCAUUAAUUUGUCUAGUUCCUCUAUGUUUAAUGGGUUGAUCAACAACAGUGUUGGCUCCUUCAUAAGGUUCAACGAUGGCAUUAUAGCCUGGUUCAACUUUGUGGGGUAGCAUGAUUGAUUCAUGGUGGUAGAUCUCGAAUGUGGAGAGUCUAGUACUUGAGCGAAAAAUGUUAAUGUAUCAAGUGUAAGUUAAUUCUACAUUACAUGCUGCAGUAGAUGUUGAACAACAUUACAUGUUAUGAUUUGUUCUAAAGGAGAAUAUUGACAUUUUUGAAAAACCCUAAGUAUUCUUUAGAAAAAAGACGUCAUACACUUAAGAAUUUUUUAUCAAAAUUUGUAUCUUAGAAAUUCUAAGUAUUAGAGCCUGUUCUGUUUUGUAUUAUUUACACCUCUGAUUGUAUAUCAAGUGUAAGAACAAAUUUGUUUACUUGUAAACUUUUAGAUUAUCUUGCUGGUGUGGUUGAACAUUGAAAGUCUCUUGCUUGCGUACUUAAAUAUUUGGAAGUCUCUUGGUUGUGUCCUUAAACAUUUGUAAUCUUGUGCGAUUAUAGUGAAAAUCCCUCGAAAGUGCAAGAAGAUUAUACUACUCCUGGAUUGUAGGAGGAACCAAUAUAAUUGUUUGUGUCUGCUCUCUCUUGUGCGUGUGUUUUUGUGUGUUUGAUUUUAUCCGCCAUUAUCAUACUAUGAACUCAUCAGACUCUGACUAGUGUAAUACACUUAGAAAAAGAUUGAAAAAGCCAACACACUUCAACCCCUUCUUGUAUUUUUCUAACCUUCAGGCCCAACCCGCAAAAACAUGAGCCCAACAUAGGCCCAUCCAAAAAGGGUUGGGUAGCCCGCUUCGAAAGCUCUAUAAACCAUGGAAUAUUUAUAAAUGAAUAUAAGUCAAUUAUAAAUUUUAGGGUGUUUCAUAAAUCAUGCACAGACCAGAUUUUUGGAAGAAAUUGGUGAUAAUUCGUAUCUGCACAUACUGGGUUUUUGGAAUGGAAUUUGGAAGUUGAAGGCUCCUCCGAAGGUGAAGAACUUGAUAUGGAGAAUAUGUCGGGGAUGCUUACCAACUUGUGCCAAAUUGUUAGAUAAAAGAGUGAACUGUACCUCUGUGUGUUCUAUGUGUGAUGGAAAUUAUGAAGAUGACCUUCAUGUUUUGUUUGAUUGUCAAAGAGCGAGGAGCGUUUGGCGGGACAGUCACCUCUCAAACGAUAUAUAUGUGGCGAUGCAAACAAAUAACACAUCAGCAGAUAUAGUGUUUGCCUUACUACAAAAUCUGCCACAUACUAAAAUCCAGUUAUUUGUUACUUUAGUGUGGAGCUUGUGGAAAAGCUGGAAUAUUCAAGUUUGGCAAAAUAUGUCCGAGAGCAGCCAGUCAAUUGUUGAGCGUGCACAUCAGUUGCUGCAUGGGUGGACAACAGCAAACAGGUGCAGGAACAGGUUUGACAGGUCUGUAAUUGGUGCUGAAACAAAUACGGUUAACACCAUAUCUGGCAGCAGCUGUACACAGGUGCAGCAUGAUUAGUUUCGGUGGCAAAACUACGAAGGGAAGGUUUAAAUGCAACGUGGAUGCAUCCUUUUCGGUACAUUUAAAUGUCGUUGGUUAUGGUAUGUGUAUCCGAGAUAAUCGCGGGAAUUUUGUGAAAGUAAGGACGAUGUGGUCAAGCCCCGUGUGUGUGUCGGAUGUAGGUGAAGCUUAGGGUUUGUCACAAGCUAUCCAGUGGGUUCAUGAGCUACAACUCCCAAAUGUCGAUUUCGAGUUGGAAGCCAAGAGAGUUGUAGACCAUUUCAACAUAGGUAACAAUGAUAUCUCAGAAUUUGGAGUCAUUAUUGAUGAUUGUAGGAAGCGGUGUAAUUCUUAUUUUAGAAACUCUAAGGUAGAGUUUUGUAGGAGACAAGCGAAUGAAGUCGCUUAUAAUUUAGCUCGAGAGGCUACAUUCUUAGCUAGUCCCCAUGAUUUUAAUGGCGUACCUUCUUGUAUUUGACAAUUGAUAUCUAAUGAAAAGCUAUAAGCUAUUUCCUUUCAAAAAAUGCAAUUAAAAAUUAAGAUAAACAUUCACUUUUAUUAAAAAAAAAAUAUGAAACUAAAAGUGAUCAUACAAUAC